rnacentral:rRNA from 1 species
GCCCAGACUCCUACGGGAGGCAGCAGUGGGGAAUAUUGCACAAUGGGCGAAAGCCUGAUGCAGCGACGCCGCGUGAGGGAUGAAGGCCUUAUGGUUGUAAACCUCUUUCAGCAGGGACGAAGCGAAAGUGACGGUACCUGCAGAAGAAGCACCGGCUAACUACG